AAAGAUGCUGUGGAGGUCUGUCAAGAGGCUGCUGUGACUGGGGAGUUGAGGUGAGCUACUGAAAGCUGCCCAUGAAGUUUCUAUCUUGAAUGUGGGGAAAGCAGGUCAUGAGCCAGGGGCCCUGGAGAAUUCGGGAUUCAGUGAUUCAGAAAGAGUAAGAAAAUAUGGCUGCUGAAUCCUGUGAGCCUGUGAAUGACUGCGUUUCAGGAGAGCAGCAUGUGUAGGACAAAUUGGGUUUCUGUAAGGAGCAAGAUGUGUGUGGCUGUUAUCCUCAUUUACAUGGGUGCUGCUGCUUCGGGCCAUUCCUGCACUCGCUCAAAGCAUUCUCAGAACUCCCCUGGGAGGUGCACGCAGCUUCAAAGAGUGUUUGGAAGGUACAGAGUGGUUGCUGGCUCAUUUCUGGACUCUGUCAUUGCAAAGCGCCUCACCCUAAUUUAAACCAUAUGGACUGAGAUCAUGUCAUACUUGGAAAGAAACCAAUCAAGCAAGACAUAAGAGUGUGGGCAGGCUUCACUUGUUUUAACAAACUUAAAGAAAACAUUUUAGAGGGGAUAUUCCAGAAAAACAUGCUUACCAGAAGGCCUCGGAACUGCUGCUUCAGCUCAUGGAUUAUGCCGCUUCUCAAGCGUUGUUGCAGAUCCCUCACCUUAUGAUCAUCUUAGACAGUGUUUAGAAUUACAAUGCCCUUCAUAUUUCUUUUGUUUAACAUUCUUGUUUUCUGAUCAAAAAUAUAUAUAGGAAUAAGCAUGAGUACUGCAAUCUUCACACAUUGUUUACAAAUGAUUAUGCGAGAUAAAGAUGUGCUGUUAAUUGUACUGAUGUAUAUGGUCUUGUGCCCAUCUGGCUAAAUAAAAAUGAAGAAGAACCCUCGGUGUUUUUCCGCUUAAAUCACUGGAAUGAUCAAAAGCAAAAAGAAAGAAAUUAUUGCUGAGAGUUCUUAAAUUCCUGGUAAGCCCACCAGCAAAAGUAGUGAAAGGGAAAAUGCUGUACUUACCAUGUUUGGAAUCAUUAUUUAUAGAGAACUUCCUGAUGUGUGCAUCAUGGAUUUGCCUUUGAGGCCAUCCCACUACCCAACCUUUCAAAAAGAUGCUUUGUCUUUUCUGAGCUUUUUGUCUGUAUUUAUUCUCAUAUCAAUUUCUUUCUUACUAAUGAAUAAAACUAUUUUUAAGGUGCUGUAAAUUUAUUUAUCUGUAACUCAGCAAAGUGCAGUCCAGCAGUUAUAUGUAAAUAUGCAGAUAUAUUUGUAGGACGUGUUCCUUCCCAUUUGACUAGCAAAGGGAUGGCAAAGAAAUUCAUCAGUAGAAAUAGAUUUUAUUACUUGUAGAAUUCUAACUUUUGCAAUUUUAACAAAAUCAAUUAGCAUAAU